CAUUGACCUCUGGUUUAAUAAUGGCUGGUGAUAGAAAACUAUCAGGAAUGCUUCAAGCUGGCAAUGGAGGGAAAUGUAAAAGACACUGAGAAAUCACAAGGUUUCAAACAUCUAGAAUAUGCUCACAGUCAGUCUUCAAGAUACUCACCUUAAUGGUUCCAGUGUGUUUUAUGAGACUUUGUCAGAACAGAAC